GGAGCUUGAGAAAAUUCGUCAAAGGUGACCAUAUCAUAGACUUCAAACUUCAUUGAAAAUUAUUUGUCCUAAUUAGGUUGCCUUGGACACUUUGGUUAUCAGUUUCUUCCAUUACUGUACUUUCAUUGUAGCAAUCAGUUCAUAGUUUUAUGAAGUUUACGAUGUGCUUGGUACACAAGCUUAGCCACACCUCUGCCUCUCAUACUUCCUUGUCCCAUGUUCCAUUUUGUUCCCUACUUUUUUUUGCUGGUGGCAUAAUAAGAUGAUUCAUCAUGUGAUGCGCUUGUGAAUGUGGCUUUGAUGAUAUCUGUGCUUAACAGAGAAGCGGAUAUGACAAAGGAA
rnacentral:misc_RNA from 1 species